CGGGACGGUCGCUGGGCUCGUAGCUCCGGGCGCAGAAUGGCAGCGGCCGGCGGAGUUUUACAACUUUUCCCCGAGUACCUCUGUGUAUCGGCCCGCCUGGGCUGCCGCCACAAAACACCACAGGCCGGCGGGGUGGCUGCAGCCACGGAGAUGGGUUUCUCACCGUUCUGGAGGCUGGGAGCUCAAGACCACGUCUCCCUGAAAAUCAAUGGAGCAAUGUCCUCGGGGGAGAAUUAACAAAAACAAACAGUACGACGCCCACGGGCGAGGAGAGUGGAAGGGCCCACGAACCUUCUUGACGUCCCUGACCAGCAGGUGAAGCGUGUUGGGCGGACCCAGUCUC